CCAAAUUAAAAGGUGAGCCAAUUGUAUCCUUGAAUAUUUGAUUAGGGGAAUCGAAAGGCACUGGGAUGAUUGAUGGAUGAAAAGGUAGUGGAUGGACGAUUUUACCCUUGGAUGAUGGAGAUUUUAAUAAUUUGUUAAUGAGGCAUGUGAAAUUAUACAAGGGGAGAUAAGGGCAUACUUGUCUAGAAGAAAUAAUCGGGGUGGCCCACGACAUUCUUCAUAAGAAUUCAUGACAAAUCGAGCAGCAGCAGCAGAAGAAGAAGAAGAAGAAGAAGAAGAAGAAUAUGUGAUGUGGCACCUGAAUUGGUGAAAAAUGCUGAAUGGCAUGUUUGGGACAUAAAUGACCUUUGAAUUGAAGGGAUUUCCAACUCAAGCUG